ensembl:lncRNA
GUAAUGGACUUUAUCCUCACAGGUCAACUGAGGCACAUGGUGUCCUCGGUUCUGAUAUGAAUAGCUGUGGUGGAGACUUCCUGUGUUCAACUGGAUCUGCUGGUUCAAGACUGUCACACAUUGCUUUGAAUUGCAAUGGGUGUGUGGAAUAUGAAGUCUGCUGGAAAAGACAAGUCAUAAAUGUCUGGAACACCACAUACAUUUGAGCUAUAAGUUCCACAUUCAGAAAGCACAGAGUCUGCAGAUCGCGGGUGAUGGAUAAAGGAUUCCCCCCUCUUUAGUGAUAUCCAAUGAAUCACUUAAGGACCUGCUACAUCGCUGCAGCUUCCAGUGGACUCAGGACAGUCGAUGUCGAGAGAGGUGUCCUACGAACUGAAUCCGACGCCAUUCUGGUUCUAAUUACGCGGCUCGCUCAUAAGCCCAGCCGCGAAUACAGACUUCUACCGUUAUUAACUGACAGGCACCCAAGCCGCCACAGAGUGGCGCUAGAGCACCUUCAGGCAAGGCACCCCGAAUUCUUUUAAUAUCCCGGUCAAACUGUGACUGGGUCGUCCAAUUGCACGGCCCUCUGAUUGCACCCCUUAGCUGCGAACCGGACUCAAACCCUGGUCUUACGGUGUCACCGCUAACUGAGUGUCAAACAUCUGUAAUUCAAACCACACAGUGGCCAGUUUAUUCUAGUAAUGGGGUGGACCCUCUUGUUCCCCCAGAACAGCCUGGAUUCUUCAGGGCAUGGACUGUUUGAGGGGUGUCUAAAACAUUUGAUGGGGAUGUUGGUCAAUGCUGAUGCAAUGACAUCCUUUUGCAAUUGGUACUUAUUUUGAAUGAUGGUACAUUCGUGCUGAAGACAUGUUCCUGUUCCUCAUCUCAUCUUAAAGAUGGUGAGCUGGGGUCCGGUCCGGUGGGGACUGGGCAGGCCAGUCAAGUAAAGAAGGUCAGUUGGGGUUAGAUUUGGGGACUGGGCAGGCCAGUCAAGUAAAGAAGGUCCAUUGGGGUUAGGUCUGGGGACUGGGCAGGCCAGUCAAGUAAAGAAGGUCCGUUGGGGUUAGAUCUGGGAACUGGGCAGGCCAGUCAAGUAAAGAAGGUGCAUUAUGGUUAAGUCUGGUUAGGCAUGUCAUUAAUUUCAAAUAAGUAAUUAAUGAGUAUUUCACAACAAGCUGUGACAGCCAAACUAUUUGCCCAAAUUCAACAGUUUUUCCAGACCUGACCAUGAUGCUAUGUUAGUUUACAUGACAAUGCCCAAUCAACGUAGAAACAUAUUAUCGUUCAUCUUCUGUAACUGAAUUGUAU